rnacentral:rRNA from 1 species
UGGGGAAUAUUGGACAAUGGGCGCAAGCCUGAUCCAGCAAUGCCGCGUGUGUGAAGAAGGCCUGCGGGUUGUAAAGCACUUUCAGUAGAGAAGAAAAGCCUAGGGUUAAUACCCCUGAGUCUUGACGUUACCUACAGAAGAAGCACCGGCUAACUCCGUGCCAGCAGCCGCGGUAAUACGGAGGGUGCGAGCGUUAAUCGGAAUUACUGGGCGUAAAGCGCGCGUAGGCGGCUUUGUAAGUCGGAUGUGAAAGCCCUGGGCUCAACCUGGGAAUUGCAUUCGAUACUGCAGAGCUAGAGUAUGGUAGAGGGAAGUGGAAUUUCCGGUGUAGCGGUGAAAUGCGUAGAUAUCGGAAGGAACACCAGUGGCGAAGGCGACUUCCUGGGCCAAUACUGACGCUGAGGUGCGAAAGCGUGGGGAGCAAACAGGAUUAGAUACCCCCGUAGUCC